UGGGGAAUAGUUUAGCGGUAGAACUCCUGGCUCUGGACCGGGCAACAUUGGUUCGAAUCCAGUUUCCCCAGCCA
rnacentral:tRNA from 1 species